UACAGAGGUCUCAAGCGUGGUUCGGAUUCAUUGGGCGUAAAGGGUGUGUAGGUGGCGCCGUUAGUCGGGUGUGAAAUUUCGGAGCUUAACUCCGAAACUGCAUUCGAUACUGCGGUGCUUGAGGACUGGAGAGGAGACUGGAAUUCAUGGUGUAGCAGUGAAAUGCGUAGAGAUCAUGAGGAAGACCAGUGGCGAAGGCGGGUCUCUGGACAGUUCCUGACACUGAGGCGCGACAGCGUGGGGAGCAAACAGG
rnacentral:rRNA from 1 species